rnacentral:lncRNA from 1 species
UACAAUCUGUCGAUAGGCCACACCAAUUUGAUCCCUUGUUCGACGGACCCGCCCGCACCUAUUUUUUUCAAAACAGAAUUUUUUUAUUUUUUUUAUAUUCCCGCUUCCCGCAUCCGGAAUUGUAAUCAUGUCCAUUUCCCGCACCGUUUUUUUUUUUGUAAAUAUUAUAAAAAGAUAUCAACAUUUGUUAAAUCACAGUCUAUUAACCUGUUUAUAACGAUUUUAAACAUAAAAGCACCCCACCACACUGUGUAAAUAUCUGUGAAAAUAUUUGUUUCAGCAUGAAACCUGGAGUGCUCCGAUAAAAAGUUACUAGAACACACCCGCGAAAUCGCGGGCAUUCAGAGCGUAGUUUAAAGUAUCAGUAUGUAAAGUGUUGUUGGAAGAAUUUUGUUAAAUACAGAAUGACUGGAGAAUUUCAGCAAAAGUAUCAUAAGUCAUAGGUUAUUGGGGACAGGAAAAAUUUUUUUUUUUACCCUCCACCUUUAUUUCCAAAGUUCCCAAUUUUUGGUUUUCUAUCAAUUUCAAUAUGAACAUACAUUUAGUAUGUUAUGAACAUUUAUUUAAGUAAGGAGCCUGUAAUUCAGUGGUUGUCGUUUGUUUAUGUGUUACAUAUUUGUUUUUCGUUCAUUUUUUGUACAUAAAUAAGGCCGCUAGUUUUCUCGUUUGCAUUGUUUUACAUUGUCAUUUCGGGACCUUUUGAAGCUGAGUAUGCGGUAUGGGCUUUGCUCUUUGUUGAAGGUCGUACGGUAACCUAUAAUUGUUAAUUUUUGUGUCAUUUUUGUCUCUUGUGGAGAGUUGUCUCAACAUGACAAUCAUACCACAUCUUCUUUUUUUUUUGUAAUCAAUGAAUUUUGUAAAAGAUUUAAUGACUGGAGAAUUUCAGAAAAAAGUAUCAUAAGUUCACAUGAAUAAUUUUAGCGCUUAUCUGUAUAUUAUGAACAUUCAUUACUAUAUAAAUAAAGCGUAUUUACUUUCAAUUCUAAGUUUACUAAUCGAUCCAUGGUGAUCAUUGAUAUAGUAUACAGACCCUCUCUAUUUAAUAAACUCUGUGACUGCCGUGGAUAGUAAACUUGAAAAUGAUAGCAGAUAAAAUUCUGAAAAUACACUUUAUUCGUAGUAUAUAUGUAUGUUCAAAGUAUACAGAAAAACGCAAACCGGAAGUCUAAUCUGACUUAAAAUUUCGUACAAUGACGGGACAAUACCCGGAUGCCUUUUUUCUCGUUUUUCUCCUAAAAUAACUCAAUCUGAAUAAUCAUAUGAAUGGAUGACAAAUGCGACUAUGCACUGUACCUAUAGGACACAGAGGCGUGUUGAUUAAUUUAUUGUGGAAAGAAGAGAAGCGACACCAAAAAUGAGGUCUUCUCGUUUAAUAGUAUAGAUAAC